UACGUAGGGGGCGAGCGUUGUCCGGAGUUACUGGGCGUAAAGGGCAUGCAGGCGGUCCGACACGUUUUGUGUGACAGCGGGUGGCUUAACUACCCGAGCAUGCGAAAGACGGUUGGACUUGAGGACUCGAGAGGGACACGGAAUUCCGGGUGGAGUGGUGAAAUGCGUAGAGAUCCGGAGGAACACCGAAGGCGAAGGCAGUGUCCUGGCGAGUGACUGACGCUGAGGUGCGAAAGCCAGGGGAGCGAACGGG
rnacentral:rRNA from 1 species